AGCGAACGCUGGCGGCAGGCUUAACACAUGCAAGUCGAGCGGGCACUUUCGGGUGUCAGCGGCGGACGGGUGAGUAACGCGUGGGAACGUGCCCUCUGGUUCGGAAUAACUCAGGGAAACUUGAGCUAAUACCGGAUACGCCCUUUUGGGGAAAGGCUUGCUGCCGGAGGAUCGGCCCGCGUCUGAUUAGCUAGUUGGUGAGGUAACGGCUCACCAAGGCGACGAUCAGUAGCAGGUCUGAGAGGAUGAUCAGCCACACUGGGACUGAGACACGGCCCAGACUCCUACGGGAGGCAGCAGUGGGGAAUAUUGGACAAUGGGCGCAAGCCUGAUCCAGCCAUGCCGCGUGAGUGAUGAAGGCCUUAGGGUUGUAAAGCUCUUUUAUCCGGGACGAUAAUGACGGUACCGGAGGAAUAAGCCCCGGCUAACUUCGUG
rnacentral:rRNA from 1 species